UACGUAGGCAGCGAGCGUUGUUCGGAAUUACUGGGCGUAAAGAGUGUGUAGGCGGUGUUCCCAGUCUGUUGUGAAAUCUCCCGGCUUAACUGGGAGGGUGCAGCGGAAACUAGAAUGCUAGAGGGUGGGAGAGGUAAGCGGAAUUCCUGGUGUAGCGGUGAAAUGCGUAGAUAUCGGGAGGAACACCUGUGGCGAAAGCGGCGCACUGGACCACAACUGACGCUGAUGCGCGAAAGCUAGGGGAGCAAACAGG
rnacentral:rRNA from 1 species